rnacentral:rRNA from 1 species
UACGGAGGGUGCAAGCGUUAUCCGGAUUCACUGGGUUUAAAGGGUGCGUAGGCGGGCAGGUAAGUCAGUGGUGAAAUCUCCGAGCUUAACUCGGAAACUGCCAUUGAUACUAUUUGUCUUGAAUAUUGUGGAGGUAAGCGGAAUAUGUCAUGUAGCGGUGAAAUGCUUAGAUAUGACAUAGAACACCAAUUGCGAAGGCAGCUUACUACACAAUGAUUGACGCUGAGGCACGAAAGCGUGGGGUUCAAACAGG